GCGCGAGUGGCGGAACUGGCAGACGCACUAGCUUGAGGGGCUAGCGGGAGCAAUCCUGUGCGAGUUCGAAUCUCGCCUCGCGCACCA
rnacentral:tRNA from 1 species